GCCCAAAGGUCUCGUUCUCAUGCUCUGCCUGCUCUCUUCUAGGCUGCGCAGGCUCCGAGCCCUCCUGGCUAGGCGGUCCAGCCGAGUGGCCCCCCUGGCCGCCCCAGGGGAGUCUGCAGCCUCCAGGCCAGCUGCCCCCCGGAGGUGGUGGGUCCUGUGCGGCCGCACCAACCGGGUGGGCCCUGCUCCUUCGCUGCCACUGGUUGGGGGCUGCAGCCGGCCAGAGCCAGCCGAGCCCCCUGUUGAGGAUGCUGGAGCUCCAACACCCAGCAGCCUCAUCAAGGCCAGGCUCCGCCUUGUGGAUAAGGCCAGACCGGAAAGUGAAGAAGAAGGGAAGGACCGGAGGGACCGGGUCACGUUCCUGAAGACCCUGAUCGAGGCCUGCAGGAACAGCCUCCAGAGAGGGGAACGCCGCCUUGCCUUCUCAAAGGGUUUGGCAGCCCAGGCCGUGCUGGAGGAGAUGGAGUAUACCUGGGAGGACCCCCUGCCUCCCUACCUCUUCUCCCUCUGCGCGGAGGCUCUCACCUUGCUGAGUCGGAUGAAGCCCUGCUUCUGCCAGAGCAGGGAACAUAAAAUCAUCUCCGGCUGCCUGUUCUGGAUGAGCGUGAUGCCAGAGCAAGGGCCACAGCAAGACCAGGAGGACCUGUUUCUGCCACCUGAGGAGGCCCUGCAGGGCCUGCUCAGAGCCCUCCUUUCUCAAAGGCCCAGCCUGGAGCACCUCAUCCAUAUCACUGAGGCCAUUAAUAGUGAGGUGGAAACCAAAGACGAGCAGGAGGAGGCGGUGGCAGAAAGGGCUGGCUGUUUGCUGCUUGAUCUGGCGACUGGGCCGCCCUUCUACUUUGAGGCAGAGAAGAUUAAGCCCCUGCUGCCCUUUGCGGUUCUUCAGGUGUGGAGGAUGGCAGCCCAGGCCAAAGACCAAGACAGCACUUCAUCUAGUGAAGAGGACCUGCUCCAAGAUGUUGAGUUCUGGGAUGACUGAGGGCAAUCAGCUCAUGGACACUGGACAAGCUUGUGGCCAAAAUCAGGUGGGGAUGCCAUUUCUCUUGCUCCCUUUGGGAACGCCAGCCCAGAAUCUGCCGCCAUUUCUCAGGGAUGGGGAGGUUCCUCUGCCCUUUUCCCAAGCCCUGCUCUCAUUGCAGAUGCUCCAGGGCCUCUGUAUGGAAGAGAAAGAGGGAGGAGCUGGAGGAGCUUACUCCCCUCCUGACCUCUCUGGCCCAGAGCCCUUGCCAUCAACAUAGAGGAUUCCCUCUAAGAAUUUCUUUGCCUGAUAAGGCAAGGGCAUGUGCUGUUGAGACCGUGACCUCGUUCCCACAGCUGGCCCCCACGGAUUCAUCCACACAGCGUCAUCUCAUCUUCUUUCCCAACCCAUGGACUUCUUCCUGGCGAGGAAUGUGGUUUUUACUUCCAUCCAUGUUGUUGGUUAGAGGAAGUUACAGCCCUACAUUCAAGAACGGGAAACAAGAAGUGCCCGAGAAACAGCCCACACGGUCCAUAGAAGGGAGAGAGAAAUCUAAGCAAGCAAAAAUCCAAAAAUAUUCUAAAAAACAGGAAUGAAAAGCCAGUGUCUCCUGAAGGCUGGUCUCAAGGAGGAAUUCAUCUUCAGAGAGAAGACUUGGAUUGGCAUCACAUCAGCCUUGGCUCUGCUGCUUGUGCUCAGCGUGAUAGGAAAUGUAAGGUUCCUCUUCUGCAGCUCCCGAGAGGAACGCAAGCGUGGCGGAUAUACCUACUACCCGCUGCAGGACAUGAAUGGGGAGGCCGGCCACGAUUGUCCAUGGGACAAGGAAGACCAAGUGGAGGACCCCUGCGCCCCACCUCAGCCUGUGUCAGCAACGCUGUUCUUACAAGAGAAGCCAGAAGACGCUCUCCGUGGCUCAGAUGUUUGGGCACCAUAGCUGAACAUUCUGGAGGUCUUCCAGUGCAGAACCUGGCUGCUUCUCUUACGGGCCUGUGCUCUCUGAAACGGGCCGCUGUCCUCACAAGUAGGUCUACCCAGGGGAAAGGAGCCUAGGAGAUCCUAGGGUGACGAUCUGAUAUUUUGGUUCCUGAGGUGGAAAAUCCAGCUGCUGACCUCUGGUGGGGGAAAACUAAUACGGACCUAAGACUGCCUUAUGCAAGGUCUGGAAUGCCGCCUUGGCAACGCCAGGGUUAUGCUGCUAAGCAUCUAGGCUAUUCCCUUAUCAGCUUUUGUCCUAAAGAAGCAUGCAAAAAUGUGAAACACACACUGGAACAGAGAACUGCAUUCCAGCAGGCCUCUCCGUGAACGUUUUAGACAUCUGAAAUGUCUUGUCUGCACCAGCUAAACAGAUAGCAACAUUUUCUAGGUGGAUUGAUGGGGAUUUAGGGGACGCUGAGACUCCUCCUGCUGCCAAAUUAGGAAUGUUGGAGAGACAGGCUGCUGGGCUUUCAGUCUGAGAGCGCCCACCAACGCAGCCUUUUAAGUUGAUCUAGCUUCAGGUGCCUUUUUAAGGAUGCGGAGACAAGUGAGAGGUGGCUUAUUACCAUGUAAUAUUUGACAAAGGCAAAACCUCACGUAGAAAGAAUGGAUUUCUUAACCUCUUUCCCCUUAUUGUAAUUUUUUUUUAAAAAUGGUCAUCUGUGCCAUCUAUCUGAGCCCCAUGAGUUAACCAAGGUUUGUUUAAUGACUACUAGCCAAGAGGGCUCUUUUAAAAAAUAGUCUAGUGAUGGUGGCUAAAUAGAGCCUCCAGAUUCAGGAGCAGUGUGCCUCUUCAUUCCAGAUGCAAACAAGGGAUAGCCAUCACACCAAGUGGAAACAAUAUCAAACCUACAUAGAUCUGUGGAUGGGUCUAGCCCAGUGGGUACUUAUUUUCUUCUUCGUUUGCUAUAUGAACUGCUUUGAACGUUGCUUUUGUUUUAAAAGCAAUGUGUAAAUACUGUAUUCUUAAUCAUAAUGAAGUUGACUCUUAGGCCUUAAUGAAGAUGGCUUAGGCCUUUAACUUAUCACAUCAGAAGUUUUAAGUAUUUUGAAAGAUGUAGAUUUACUUCAAGAAGGUCAGCAGCCUUCCAGUUAAUUUAUUUUAAAGUUUUUAGGCCUGUCUGAGCCAGAAUAUUUAAAUCUCUUGGUUCCCUUCACACCUCUUUUUGUACUGACUGCCAAAGACUGCGGGUUGUGCCACACUUGAACCAUGUGUCUAUGUAUAUAUUUCGGAAUCUAUUUUAUUACCUCUAAUAACUUUUAUGAAAGGCUUGAACAAACCUGGUCUGAAGGAAUCAGCUUUUUAUUGGGUAUAUCCAGUUUUGUAUUCCUGGAAUCAUCCUUUGAUCAGUGGUGAGUUAGUGGGCAAAGAAGGGAAAACAUGGUAAUUUCAUGCCAGGAUAGGGGGAAAUGUGUCUCCUUCACCUUUCUGCUAAGAGGAAACAGUAUUCCUAGCUUAACCUGCAGUAUCUGAUAAAUAGAGGGGAAUUAUUUCAUUCCCUUUCUGCUUCUGAAGCUUUAAGGUAAGAUCUUAAGAUCACAUCCUCCUCUUGCUGUAUUAUGUAUGUCUUUGUCUUGACCUUUUUUAAAGCUAGAAAAAUCAAUCUAGAUAGUUUCCAUUACAAAAAUAACCUACAAAUUAAUCCUACAUGUUCCCACUGGCAAGAGAACAUCUGCUGUGAAUGUUUAAUGCUGUGAAUGUGUAAAUGUUUAGUGCCAUACUUACCAAAAAUUCAUCAAUACCAAUCAGAAUUCUUAGAUAUAGCUUCUGAUUCCAUUACUGGAAAAGUGAUACCAUGCCCGAUUCCUUGGAAUUGCCCACUCACACGACUCAUUCCCCUGGCUAAAGGGCUGUAUGCACACACAUAUAUUCACCCACCCUCUUACUGAAAAAUGCAGGGAUCAAAAAGGUGCAUAAAAACACACUUGUUUAUUAGGAAUCAAAACUUAAACACAAGCAGACCAGUUUUCUUCUCUUCCAGCUUGUAAUAAAUUACAAAUAACAAAAGCAAUGCAGUUGUGUGUGUUGUUGAUACAGUCUAAUUCUGAGAGGGAAAUAUUAGUUAUUUCCCUGUCAGUUGAUGUCCAGUUUCCAUUUUACCAGCUCUCUACCCUACUACCAAUGCAUUCUUUGUUUAAAAAACACACAAUUUUUCACUAUAAAAUAUUCCUUAAAUAAAUCUUCUAAUCAGAAAGGCAACUUUGUGCUCACAAGAUCUGGUCCCAGUGGCCAUCCUGUAUCUGCUGAGCAUAGUUAAUUUUGUUUCCAUAUCUGGGCUGCUGAGAGAAUUCAGCAAACUGGGGGGAAAGAGCUGGGAAUCUCUUCUGACUUACAAAUUCUCAACACCACUUAGAUAAGAUGCAACUAUCAAAAUGAAAAUUGGUUGGGUUGUUUUUUUUGAAGAACAAGAGUUUAAUCUUGUUUCUUGCACUGUUUCUCAAGGGAGAUUCCAAAAGGGUGAUUCUGUUACUUGGCUUUGUCACUGUCCUGGGGUCAGGGAUACUUCUAUGAAAAAGCCAACGAGUUUGAGGAUUGCUCACCCUCAAGUCCACACGAGGACAGAGCCAUGACCCAGUCCAGGAGGGAACUUUCUAAGUAAACCACCUGUGAUCCCAUUUAGAAAAGGUGGCCAAGAAUGCUCCCUGUCCAUGCCGAGGAAACCAGGAAGACUAAUAAAUUAGCUACUGGCAUUGUUAUCAGGGAUCAGGGGAAAAGAUCAUACUUCUAACCAUCCCCAUAAAUGUCAAGUAACACCUACAUCUGAGGGACACUCAAAAUAGCUUCUCUGCCUCAGUUCCAAUCAAGAGAGUUACCCUAUUGAGCCAAGAUGAUCUUGAGUUUUGGGGAGGGGGAAUCUAGCCAAGAGUCCAAAUCCUGGAUCACCCCCAGUAUGGUGAUUUCCAGGCAAGUAAUCCAGGGUCUGUGAAUCAAGAAGAGGUGUGUCUGAAACCAAGCAAGCCAGGAGACGUCUG